rnacentral:rRNA from 1 species
UACGGAGGGUGCAAGCGUUAUCCGGAUUUACUGGGUUUAAAGGGUGCGCAGGCGGAUAUGUAAGUCAGUGGUGAGAUCUCCAGGCUUAACCUGGAAAUUGCCGUUGCUACUAUAUAUCUUGAAUGCUGUGGAGGUAAGCGGAAUAUGUCAUGUAGCGGUGAAAUGCUUAGAGAUGACAUAGAACACCUAUUGCGAAGGCAGCUUACUACGCAGAUAUUGACGCUCAUGCACGAAAGCGUGGGGAGCAAACAGG